rnacentral:rRNA from 1 species
UGCAGUCGAGCGAACCGACGGGAGCUUGCUCCCUUAGGUUAGCGGCGGACGGGUGAGUAACACGUGGGUAACCUGCCUGUAAGACUGGGAUAACUCCGGGAAACCGGGGCUAAUACCGGAUGCUUGAUUGAACCGCAUGGUUCAAUCAUAAAAGGCGGCUUCGGCUGCCGUUUACAGAUGGACCCGCGGCGCAUUAGCUAGUUGGUGAGGUAAUGGCUCACCAAGGCGACGAUGCGUAGCCGACCUGAGAGGGUGAUCGGCCACACUGGGACUGAGACACGGCCCAGACUCCUACGGGAGGCAGCAGUAGGGAAUCUUCCGCAAUGGACGAAAGUCUGACGGAGCAACGCCGCGUGAGUGAUGAAGGUUUUCGGAUCGUAAAGCUCUGUUGUUAGGGAAGAACAAGUACCGUUCGAAUAGGGCGGUACCUUGACGGUACCUAACCAGAAAGCCACGGCUAACUACGUGCCAGCAGCCGCGGUAAUACGUAGGUGGCAAGCGUUGUCCGGAAUUAUUGGGCGUAAAGCGCGCGCAGGCGGUUUCUUAAGUCUGAUGUGAAAGCCCCCGGCUCAACCGGGGAGGGUCAUUGGAAACUGGGGAACUUGAGUGCAGAAGAGGAGAGUGGAAUUCCACGUGUAGCGGUGAAAUGCGUAGAGAUGUGGAGGAACACCAGUGGCGAAGGCGACUCUCUGGUCUGUAACUGACGCUGAGGCGCGAAAGCGUGGGGAGCGAACAGGAUUAGAUACCCUGGUAGUCCACGCCGUAAACGAUGAGUGCUAAGUGUUAGAGGGUUUCCGCCCUUUAGUGCUGCAGCAAACGCAUUAAGCACUCCGCCUGGGGAGUACGGUCGCAAGACUGAAACUCAAAGGAAUUGACGGGGGCCCGCACAAGCGGUGGAGCAUGUGGUUUAAUUCCGAAGCAACGCGAAGAACUUACCAGGUCUUGACAUCCUCUGACACCCCUA